rnacentral:rRNA from 1 species
UCAACCCUCGAACCCCUCCGGGGGGUCGGCGUUGGGGAUCGGCCCCGUCACCGGGUGCCGUCCCCCAAAUACAGUGGCGGCCUCGCCGCAGCCUCUCAUGCGCAGUAGUUUGCACACUCGCACCGGGAGCGCGGCGCGUCCUCGUCCGUAAAACACCCCAAACUUCUGAAAUG